AAGUGGAUUAGUGGCGCACGGGUGAGUAAUGCAUAGGUUAUGUGCCCUUUAGUCUGGGAUAGCCACUGGAAACGGUGAUUAAUACUGGAUACUCCCUACGGGGGAAAGUUUUUCGCUAAAGGAUCAGCCUAUGUCCUAUCAGCUUGUUGGUGAGGUAAUGGCUCACCAAGGCUAUGACGGGUAUCCGGCCUGAGAGGGUGAUCGGACACACUGGAACUGAGACACGGUCCAGACUCCUACGGGAGGCAGCAGUAGGGAAUAUUGCUCAAUGGGGGAAACCCUGAAGCAGCAACGCCGCGUGGAGGAUGAAGGUUUUAGGAUUGUAAACUCCCUUUGUAAGAGAAGAUU
rnacentral:rRNA from 1 species